rnacentral:lncRNA from 10 species
CCUCCAGUCCCCACCUCCUCACCCAGUGUUUAGAGAGCUGCGGGGAGUCCUGGGAGAUGGGUCAGACAGGCCUGGGUUUGAGGCCUGCUAGGGUGGCCUUGGGCCAGUCACCUGCCCUCUCUGAGCCCGACCUGCACACAUAGGGGGUUGAUGUGAGGAGACAGGAGGUGACUGUGGAGGGCUGUUCCAGAAGAGGGCCAGCAGCAGGACAGCAAGGUCCCCUGGCCACCCAGGUGGGGGGAGUGGAGUUCCCGGGAGAGCAUCCACCAC